rnacentral:snRNA from 1 species
GUGCUUGCUUUGGCAGCACAUAUACUAAAAUUGGAACGAUACAGAGAAGAUUAGCAUGGCCCCUGUGCAAAGAUGACACGCAAAUUCAUGAAGCGUUCCAUAUUUUU